rnacentral:lncRNA from 1 species
UCUGAGUUGGUAAUCACUUCUCCUGUUUCAAAAUUGACAUAUGAGUUGGCCAUGUUCAGUAAAUUUCAUGAAAAUCAGAGGUGUAGUAUCUAUGUACCAGGAAUAGUAAUUAUGGUUGGUCAUGUUCAGAAGCUUUUACUUGCUUGGUUGAUUAUUACUUAAUGGGUAUUUCUAAUCCAGGUGAACAUCAACUAUGUCUUAGAUGUUGGCUUAGAUAUCCAGACACUUAUUUCAGUUGGAAUUAGAAGCAUCGGUCAUGGGUUUCAAACUAAUAUCCAGAAAUUCAUGGUCUAAAUGCACAGGUUUUAGUAUGUAUUAGACUUGUAUGAGUUCGCCAUACUCCCAAACUCUGCUCCUCUGCGUGUGCUAGCUGUACUUGUUUAUGGUACUCCUUUCCAUCUUAAAUUACUUGCAUAUAAUAAUUGCUGUAUUCCAAGAAAUUAUGUUAUGUGGCUGAACAGAUAAGCUAUCUACAUCACACAUACAGAUAGGAAAUCUUCCUCUCAUUCCAUUGUGUUUGCGUUUUUACAUUCUUUCUCCAGCAACUAGUAUCAGUCAUAACAUCAAGGACGGAGCAGAGAUCACUAGAGCCAGUCAUAAUAAUCUACCAGGGAUAGUAAUUGUUGGUUACAGGCUACCAAGGGUUGCAGUUCAUUGUAUAUGCAGUUCUAGUAGCAGUCAUGAUAUCAAGGACGGAUAAGAGACUAGUAGAGCCUUUCAGAAGCUUUUACUUGCUUGGUUGAUUAGUGUUCUUGUAUAGAACAGUUCAUUGUAUAAUGUCGUAGAUGCUGGCUUGGAUAUUCCAGACACUUGUUUCAGUUCGAAUUAGAAGCAUCAUGGCAUGGGUUUCAAACAAGUGUCCAUAAACUGGGGGUCUAAAUGCACACGUUUGAGCAUGUAUUGGACUUGUAUGAGUUGGUUAUACUUCCAAAAUCUGUUCCUCUGCAUGUGCUAGCUGUACUUGUUUAUGGUACUUCUUUUUAUCUUAAAUUACUUUGGUGUAAUUACAUGAUAAUUUCUGCUACUCCAAGAAAUUCUGUUAUGCGAGUACUAUUGCUAAACAAGUAAGCUAUCUCCAUCACGCAUUCAGUUAGGAAAUCUUUCUCUGAUUCCAGUGUGUUUGUAUUGUUUGCAUUCUUUCUGCAACAUUUGCUUCUCAUGUUCCCCUUUAAUUUUAUCAAAACUGGACCAUAUGUACAGAAAUCACGUGCCAUAUAUGUUUACUUCUAUAUGCCGAUAUCCAUCUUCUUGUUUGGCUUUCCUUACACAGUUGUCCCUCUUGCUUGUGGUAGCCUUUACGUAGCUGAAUAUUUUCUGUAACAGGUACAUGCCCUUCUCCAGAUCAACCCGGCUGCUGAAUUCCUGGACUCAUGGCAGCAGAAAACUCGCACAUUUGUCAAUAACAACUGUCACACUUACUAUCAUACACUUCUUGCUACAGUCUCUUCGUCAGCUACGUCAAAACUCGUUACGUUCAGUCCAAUAUAUGGGGCUCGUAAGCUAUGUCAAAACUUCUGUUUGUACCUAGGACUGGAUCAUGCUAUGAACAUUCUUUAUACCUUGUAUUAUAGGAAUUGUCGUCAGCCGGUCGAUUAAUCCGUUGGAUAUCGGAAGUUUGCUGAGUUUGUUCUGUCGUGUCUUAGCAUCUUUCUUUCUUCCUCGUUUCUUUCUUGCUGGUUUACAUGCGCUCUUCACUCAGAAAUUGGUUGCUGUGAACUGAGAUAACUUUUUCAGAUGUUUUGGACAUUUUUGCAAGAAUUCGUUUGGAACUGGGUGUAUCCUCAGCUCCAAGAAUCCGCUGAUGACUUAUCAUCGUUGUUUCUGUGGCAUCUGUGAUGUGUUCCUUCUGGCUAUGAUACAAUCCUG